GAUGAACGCUGGCGGCGUGCCUAAUACAUGCAAGUCGAGCGAACAGACGAGGAGCUUGCUCCUCUGACGUUAGCGGCGGACGGGUGAGUAACACGUGGAUAACCUACCUAUAAGACUGGGAUAACUUCGGGAAACCGGAGCUAAUACCGGAGAAUAUAUUGAACCGCAUGGUUCAAUAGUGAAAGACGGUUUUGCUGUCACUUAUAGAUGGAUCCGCGCCGCAUUAGCUAGUUGGUAAGGUAACGGCUUACCAAGGCAACGAUGCGUAGCCGACCUGAGAGAGUGAUCGGCCACCCUGGAGCUGAGACACGGUCCAGACUACUACGGGAGGCAGCAGUAGGGAAUCUUCCGCAAUGGGCGAGAGCCUGACGGAGCAACGCCGCGUGAGUGAUGACGGUCUUCGGAUCGUAAAACUCUGUUAUUAGGGAAGAACAAAUGUGUAAGUAACUAUGCACGUCUUGACGGUACCUAAUCAGAAAGCCACGGCUAACUACGUG
rnacentral:rRNA from 1 species